rnacentral:rRNA from 1 species
GACGAACGCUGGCGGCGUGCUUAACACAUGCAAGUCGAACGGAAAGGCCCUGCUUUUGUGGGGUGCUCGAGUGGCGAACGGGUGAGUAACACGUGAGUAACCUGCCCUUGACUUUGGGAUAACUUCAGGAAACUGGGGCUAAUACCGGAUAGGAGCUCCUGCUGCAUGGUGGGGGUUGGAAAGUUUCGGCGGUUGGGGAUGGACUCGCGGCUUAUCAGCUUGUUGGUGGGGUAGUGGCUUACCAAGGCUUUGACGGGUAGCCGGCCUGAGAGGGUGACCGGCGACAUUGGGACUGAGAUACGGCCCAGACUGCUACGGGAGGCAGCAGUGGGGAAUAUUGCACAGUGGGCGGGAGCGUGAUGAGGCAACGCCGUGUGCGGGAUGACGGCUUUCGGGUUGUAAACCACUUUCGCCUGUGACGAAGCGUGAGUGACGGUAAUGGGUAAAGAAGCACCGGCUAACUACGUG